rnacentral:rRNA from 1 species
UACAGAGGGUGCAAGCGUUGUUCGGAAUUAUUGGGCGUAAAGGGAGUGUAGGCGGCUUGUUAAGUCUUCUGUGAAAUCUACGGGGUCAGCCUGUAACGUGCAGAGGAAACUGGCGAGCUUGAGUGUCGGAGAGGAUAGGGGAAUACCCGGUGUAGAGGUGAAAUUCGUAGAGAUCGGGUGGAACACCAGUGGCGAAGGCGCCUAUCUGGCUGACAACUGACGCUGAGACUCGAAAGCAUGGGGAGCAAACGGG